rnacentral:rRNA from 1 species
GAUGAACGCUGGCGGCGUGCCUAAUACAUGCAAGUCGAGCGAACAGACGAGGAGCUUGCUCCUCUGACGUUAGCGGCGGACGGGUGAGUAACACGUGGAUAACCUACCUAUAAGACUGGGAUAACUUCGGGAAACCGGAGCUAAUACCGGAUAAUAUAUUGAACCGCAUGGUUCAAUAGUGAAAGACGGUUUUGCUGUCACUUAUAGAUGGAUCCGCGCCGCAUUAGCUAGUUGGUAAGGUAACGGCUUACCAAGGCAACGAUGCGUAGCCGACCUGAGAGGGUGAUCGGCCACACUGGAACUGAGACACGGUCCAGACUCCUACGGGAGGCAGCAGUAGGGAAUCUUCCGCAAGGGGCGAAAGCCUGACGGAGCAACGCCGCGUGAGUGAUGAAGGUCUUCGGAUCGUAAAACUCUGUUAUUAGGGAAGAACAAAUGUGUAAGUAACUAUGCUCGUCUUGACGGUACCUAAUCAGAAAGCCACGGCUAACUACGUG